AGCUCCCAUCCUCGGAGCCAUGCUUGCUUGCCUGCUUGCUUUCCUCAUCCCAAACCCUUUACACUUUCAAAGGACCUCUUGUGUGGGGGAUGAAGUCCAGCAUUUUUUUCCCUCGUGGAUGGAUGCUGUAUUUCAAGUGAACUUCCAAACACAGAAGAGCUCAGCUUCAGAGCAAUAUGACAACAUUGUGGUUUGGCCCAGUGGAGGGAGCUGUCCAGAUGUGAGGGGUAGGCCGUCACUCUCAGAGACUCACCUGACUGCUGAACUUAGUGAAAGAAGGCUUGGGGUCAUGUUCCUGCGAGCAGUAGUGACAUGGGAGGUAUGGUUCAGCUCUGCUCAGAGGUUGUCCUGAUGCUUGGACCUCACUGUAUGAUCAUGGUUUGAGCAGGAAGGGUAAGCGAGGGGAAGACCAUCCAGGAAAAGAGGGGAAAAGCAGAGGAAUCCACAUGUAUUUCUUGAUGGUGGCAUCUCUUUUGAACAUCCUAAGAACAUGUUAUAAAGAAGAAACAACACUUCUACCAAGUGUUGCUGGACCUCAAUUCUGGAAUGUAAAAAUAUCAGUCUGAAAUCCAUCUUGACCUCUACACAGUACCCAAUGAAGUUAGAUCAUUGCCUUCAAGAGGACUUAUGUGUAAAACUCCUACAGGCUGUAGACAAGGCUAUGGGUCCAUCCAUAAGCAUACAAAGUCACAACAGCACAUGCUAUGUGGUAUGCUACCCAGACCCCUUAAAAGACAAGGGCAUCCUCCCCAGCACUGGUGUUCUCCCAGGCUAGUCUCUCCUCUAGCCAUGUAAUGGCCUGGCUGAUUGAUGUGGGAUAUUCCAGCCUGUUCUCCCUGUUGAGCAGAGGACACUGAACAUCCAGCUCUGAGCUGCCCAUGGGCCAAUUACAAAUAUACCACAGCCCUGCCUCUCUGUGUCACUGGCUAUCCCUUAUAGGUGGUACCAAUUUCCUGUGCUAUUUUCUACAACAGAAGUCAUUUCUCAGGGAAAUUUAACCCCAAACAGUCAUGUAUCUUUCUUCCUUCAAAUUCCAGAGAAGGGCACAAUAGGGAAAAUACCUCAAGAUACAUGAACUGGCUAGGGUUUUCCAAACAGGAUUCCAGUUGCUUGGGACAUAAUGCCAAUAACUGAAGCUAGAAGGCAGAGGCCCAGGAAACAGCUAACCUAAUCAUCUAAAGAGACAGCUCCCAGAACCUUUGCAAGCUACACAUCCAACAGAGGAGAAUUAGCUGGAAUAUGAAGAAGAAAAACCCCAAACCAAAACCCAAAUAAACUUCAAGAAGCUAAAAAAGGAUCAAAAAAGCCUACAAUAAAGGAGCCAGCGAAGCAAGCAGAGUCCUCAAAAGAUGAGGCGCAAAUUUCUAUUAGACACAUGAAAGGAUGGUCAGCCUCACUCUCCAUCAGAGGAAGGGAAAUUAAAGUUACAGUGAGAACCCGUCAGAGUGACAGUCAUUAAAAAAGCAAACGCUAGUGACAACAGAUGCUGGUACAGAAGGGGUGAAGGGGCUCUUACACCAUUGGUGGGAAUGGAAACCAUGCCCGCCUCUGUGGAGAUCAGUGUGCAAAUUCCUUCCAAACCCAAACUAGGGGGUAGGAAGAUGGCGCAGGGUAAAAGGUGCGUAUUCAUUGUGUCUGUUCCAGACAUCCAUAUUCACCAGCUCACCACUGCCUGGAACUCCAGCUCCAGGGGAUCUGAUGCCCUCUUCUGGACUCUUCAGGUGCCUGCCUGCAUACAUGCAUACCUCACACAGACACACAACUUUAAAAAGUGAUAAAAAUCUUCAAAAAAUUAAAAACACAUCUACCACCUGAGACAGCCAUACAAAUCCUGGGUAUGUAUCCAAAGGAUCAGAACAGGCACUUCGCAGAGACACUUGUGUAUCAUUUACUAGAGCUUCAUGCACAGUCAUGAAGUUCUAGAACCAACGUAGGUGUCUAACCACAGGGGAAUAGAUAAGGAAAGUUGGUUUAUAUACACAUCAGAAGUUAUAUCAGCCAUAGAGAGGGAUGAAGUUUUAUCAUUUAUAGGACAAUGAAUGCAAUCAGAGUUCACUAUAAUAAAUGAAUUAAGCCAGUCUCAGAAAGACAAUGUUUUCUCUCUUACACAAUUCCUAGAUUUAAUAUAGAGUAAAGCCAUGCAUGUAUGUAAUAAAUGUAGAAGUGAAACUAUCUAGGGAGCAGGGGACCUAACUGAAAGGGGAAGAAGGGUACAGGUGGGGGUGGGGAGGAAUAUAUUCAAUGCAUAUUACAUGUGUAUGUGAAAAUAUCCAUAUGCAACAAGCGACAGGUGCAAAGUAUAGACAAAAUGAAACAAUUAAAUAACAAUAAAAUAAACUCAACAGGAAAACAGAAUUCAGUUAUAAUGCUCUGGAAAAACUGUUUCAAAUUAGAAUUUAAGAUACAUAGAUAC